UACGAGCGAUGCAAGCGUAUCCCGGAAUUAUUGGGCGUAAAGCGUUUGUAGGCGGGCGAGUGUGUUUAAUGUUAAAUCUUAAAGCUCAACUUUGAAAUUGCGUUAAAAACUGCUUGUCUUGAGUAUGGUAGGGGUAAAGGGAAUUCCCAGUGUAGCGGUGAAAUGCGUAGAUAUUGGGAAGAACACUAAACAGCGAAGGCACUUUACUAGGCUAAUACUGACGCUGAGAAACGAAAGGUAAGGUAGCGAAACGGAUUAGAUACCCGUGUAGUCUUACCCGUAAACUAUGGACACUAAACGGUAAAUUUUUAAUUUACUGUUAAAGCUAACGCGUUAAGUGUCCCGCCUGGGGAGUAUGCUUGCAAAAGUGAAACUCAAAGGAAUUGACGGGGGCCCGCACAAGCGGUGGAGCAUGUGGUUUAAUUCGACGGUACACGAAGAACCUUACCAGGAUUUGACAUGCUAGAUAGUUGCUUGAAAGAGUAACGUGCCGUAAGGAAUCUAGACACAGGUGGUGCAUGGCUGUCGUCAGUUCGUGUUGUGAAAUGUUGGGUUAAGUCCCGCAACGAACGCAACCCUUGUCUUUAGUUAUUUUCUAGAGAGACUGCCUGUAAUAAACAGGAGGAAGGUAAGGAUGAGGUCAAGUCAUCAUGCCCCUUAUGUCCUGGGCUACACACGUGCUACAAUGGGAAAGACAAUGAGCUGCAAAUCUGUAAAUUUAAGCAAAUCUCUUAAACUUUCUCGUAGUUCGGAUUGUGGGCUGCAACUCGCCCACAUGAAGUUGGAAUCGCUAGUAAUCGCCAGUCAGCUAUAUGGCGGUGAAUCCGUUCCCGGGCCU
rnacentral:rRNA from 1 species